UACGUAGGUGGCAAGCGUUGUCCGGAUUUACUGGGUGUAAAGGGCGUGCAGCCGGGCUGACAAGUCAGAUGUGAAAUCCCGCGGCUCAACCGCGGAACUGCAUUUGAAACUGUCAGUCUUGAGUACCGGAGAGGUCAUCGGAAUUCCUUGUGUAGCGGUGAAAUGCGUAGAUAUAAGGAAGAACACCAGUGGCGAAGGCGGAUGACUGGACGGCAACUGACGGUGAGGCGCGAAAGUGUGGGGAGCAAACAGG
rnacentral:rRNA from 1 species